ACGUACUUCUUCAUAUGCCCAUAUGAGUUUCCAGGCUAUGGAAUGUAAAGAAGUAUGUA
rnacentral:pre_miRNA from 1 species